CAUUUAACUCCCACCAUGCAAACACCCAUUAAUGGCCAAUGUCUCCACAUUUCUUUGAUCAUACAGUCCAGUGGGGAGGGGGGAAGGGCAUCCAUGCCUGACUCCUUCAGGUUUACCUAGAUAGAAACACGCACUGUUUAACGAAUCCGACUAGGAACCAUGAGGUUGUAGGUUCGAUCCCUGGCCUUGCUCAAUGGGUUAAGGAUCUGGCGUUGCUGUGAGCUGUGGUGUAGGUUGCAGACGCGGCUUGGAUCCUGCGUUGCUGUGGCUCUGGUGCAGGCCAGCAGCUACAGCUCUGAUCAGACCCCUAGCCUGAGAACCUCCAUAUGCCACAGAAAGUGGCCCUAGAAAAGACAAAAAAUAAAUAAAUAAUAAAAAAUAAAAAAGAAGUCAAUGACCUACAGGGUCAAAAUCAUAGCCUUUAGCAGGAGCCCUUAAGAUUCUAUUAACAGGCUCUUGCCUGUUUGUUUGUUUUUCCUUUUCUUUUUUUUUUUUUUAUGGCCGCACCUUCGGCAUAUGGAAGUUCCCAGGCUAGGGGGUCGAAUUGGAACUGCAGCUGAGGUCUAUGCCACAGCCAUGGCAAUGCUGAAUCCAAGCUGCAUCUGCAACCUACAUGAAGCUUGCUGCAACCCCGGAUCCUUAACCCCCUGAGCAAGGCCAGGGAUAGAACCCGCAUCCUCAUGGACACUGUGUUGGGUUCUUAACCUGCUGAGCCACCACAGGAGCUCCAAUCUUGCCUGUGUCUCAUUUCCUGUCGAUUCCCCACAGGUCUGAGUUCUAGCUGUGGUCAACAUCCUGCAUCUGCUGGACCUCCUCUUCCUUUAGUGUACCUGUUACGGCUUCGCCUAGAAUGCCCUUUCUCCCAUGAAUGUUUUCAGACCAGUCCCUCCAGCGUUAUUUCCUGGGGGAAGCCUUACUCUGUCACCUCCAACCUGCAUAUAUCGGAUUAGGUCUCUGUCCCUACCUGGGUCCCCAAAGCAGCCUCUGAACAACUCAGUUACCACAUUCACCAUAUUAUAUUGAAGUAAUUUGUUUAUGUUUGUUUUCCCAUUAAGACUAUGAGCUCCUUGAGGCUGUGAUUUGUAGCUUAUUAAUCUUUGUGUCCUAGGACCAUAAUAACAUUUUGAUAGAAGAAAUAAAAGUGGAGUUCUCUGUGGUUCAGCAAGUUAAGGAUCCAGUGUUGUCACUGCAGCAGCUUGGGUCCCUUGUGUGGCAAGCCUUUGAUACCUAGCCUGGGAACUUCCACAUGCCUAGGGUGUGGCCAAAUUAAAAGAAAGAAAUGGAACCUAAUACAGCAUUGUAAGUCAACCACAUUCCAAAAAAAGUUUUUUAAAAAUGAAUUUAACAGGAGUUCCCAUUGUGUCACAGCAGGAAUGAAUCUGACUAGGAACCAUGAGUUUGCAGGUUCGAUCGCUGGUCGCGAUCAGUGGGUUAAGGGUCCAGCGUUGCCAUGAGCUGUGGUGUAGGUCGAAGACGCAGCUCAGAUUCUGAGUUGCUGUGGCUGUGGUGUAGACCAGCCUCUGUAGCUCCAGUUAGACCCCUAGCCUGGGAACGUCCCUAUGUCGAGGGUGCGGCCUUAAAAAGACAAAAAAAAGAAAGAAAAAUAAAUUUAACAAAAGAAGAAAAGAGUUCUCUGGUGGCCUAAUGGUUAGGACUUGGUGCUUUUACCACUAUGGCCCAGGUUCAGUCCCUGGUCUGGGAACUGAGAUCCCACAGCUGCUGCACACUGCGGCCAAAAAAAAUUGGUUUUUUUUUGCUUUUUAGGGCCACACAUUUGGCGUAUGGAAGUUUACAGUCUAGGGGUCAAAUCAGAGUUACAGCUGACAGCCUACACCACAGCCACAGCAACACCAGACCUAAGCCAAGUCUGCAACCUGUACCACAGCUCACGGCAACGCCGGAUCGUUAACCCACUGAGCAAGGGCAGGGACCGAACCCUCAACCUCGUGGUUCCUAGUCAGAUUCACUAACCACUGCGCCACAACGGGAACUCCCACAAAAUUUUUUUUUAAAAAGAGGAAUAUACCACCUCAAAUAUAUGCCAACUGGCAUAUGGAUUAUUUUGAGACAAAGGCAUUUGAGACCAACAGAUGCAAAAAGACUUCUUGGAGUUCCCAUUGUGGUUCAGUUGGAAUGAACCUGACUAGCAUCCAUGAGGAUUCAGAUUUGAUCCCUGGCCUCACUCAGUUAAGGAUCUGGCUUGCUGUGAGCGGCUCUGUAGGUCACAGACAAGGCUCAGAUCUGGUGUUGCUGUGGCUGUGAUGUAGGCUGGCAGCUGUAGCUCUUAUUCAACCCCUAGCCUGGAAACUUCCAUAUGCCGCUCCUACAGU
rnacentral:lncRNA from 1 species